rnacentral:misc_RNA from 1 species
AAGUCGUAACAAGGUUUCCGUAGGUGAACCUGCGGAAGGAUCAUUAACACGAAUCCUAACCUAAUUACCAAAUGGUACGUUUUUUUUCGGUCUUGCUGUAAAGCCUUUCUAAUCGGUAAACGAACUCGAGAGACAUUAUCAGGUUUCAACUUUCCUGCUCGUACCGACCGACUCAGAUACUGUGCUUUGCGGCUUAGGCUUUGUAUGAAACCGCAGUUUUUAAACCAUUGAGCUAAUCGUUGGGCAGUCUUCUUUGAGGAACCGAAAGGAUCUUCAGAUGCUGUCUCUUAAUACAAUUUACACAACUCUUAGCAACGGAUAUCUUGGUUCUC